GAGAGAUUUCUUUACAAAAAUUUCAUUUUGACAAUUUUAUAGAGAGAGAAUACCUUUGAUAAAAAUAAUCUGGAUAAUAUGGAUAUAGUUCUUAAAUACUGUUGUAGUUUACUUGGAAAGCUAGAAUAAUGUCAGGAACAAAGGAUGAGAUUGACAUUGGCUUCCUUGACAAUCGGAAUGAAUGGUGGAGAUGAACAGCAAAGACAGUCAGUGGAGAUGAAUGGGUAGGUCUUACAGCAGAGACACUGUAGAUCUGCACAAUGCACCGACUAAACCAAUUCCUAUUGACCACCCUUCAAAAAUCCCAUGAGAGCUUUUAUAUUGGCUCCAAUAACGAUGACCUUCCACCUUCAUAAGAGAAAGAUGGGAUGUUAUUUCUUCAAUAAGAAGAUGUUAUUUAGGACACUAAACAUCACCCGACACCUGUGUGUACUUUUACAACAUGAUUUGAUUCUGUCAGGGACAAGAGUCCAUGUAUUGGACUAUAUGAUACAUUAUUAUAUAUCGCCUUUCAAUGUGUCUUUCUCUCCCCUCUAAAUUCCUUUUUCCAUCUCUCUCCCCUUUUUUAUCCAAUAAUGUAAUCUAGAGGUGAGGAAAGACACAUCACAUCCAACCUAAACCUAAAUCCUGUCAGAUCGGAAGA
rnacentral:lncRNA from 1 species